GAUGAACGCUGGCGGCGUGCCUAAUACAUGCAAGUCGAGCGAACGGACGAGAAGCUUGCUUCUCUGAUGUUAGCGGCGGACGGGUGAGUAACACGUGGAUAACCUACCUAUAAGACUGGGAUAACUUCGGGAAACCGGAGCUAAUACCGGAUGAUAUUUUGAACCGCAUGGUUCAAAAGUGAAAGACGGUCUUGCUGUCACUUAUAUAUGGAUCCGCGCUGCAUUAGCUAGUUGGUAAGGUAAUGGCUUACCAAGGCAACGAUGCAUAGCCGACCUGAGAGGGUGAUCGGCCACACUGGAACUGAGACACGGUCCAGACUCCUACGGGAGGCAGCAGUAGGGAAUCUUCCGCAAUGGGCGAAAGCCUGACGGAGCAACGCCGCGUGAGUGAUGAAGGUCUUCGGAUCGUAAAACUCUGUUAUUAGGGAAGAACAUAUGUGUAAGUAACUGUGCACAUCUUGACGGUACCUAAUCAGAAAGCCACGGCUAACUACGUG
rnacentral:rRNA from 1 species